rnacentral:lncRNA from 1 species
UAAGUUUCAAGAAGUUGUUUAAAACCGAAUUAGUGGAUCUUAUUCCGGAGAGAACAACUUUUUGAAACUUUAAAAAAUGAAUCAAUAAUGAUCAAACUGUGGAAUUGUAUAGAGUUAAGCAUCAUAUUUAUAGAGUCAAUUCAAAACCUCUAGUAACAGCACAAAGUUAAUGCUCACACCCAGUCCAAACCAAUGCCUUUC